rnacentral:rRNA from 1 species
AUUGAACGCUGGCGGCAUGCUUUACACAUGCGAGUCGAACGGUAACAGGCCGCAAGGUGCUGACGAGUGGCGAACGGGUGAGUAAUGCAUCGGAACGUGCCCAGGCGUGGGGGAUAACGCAGCGAAAGCUGUGCUAAUACCGCAUACGAUCUAGGGAUGAGAGCGGGGGACCGUAAGGCCUCGCGCGAUUGGAGCGGCCCAUGUCAGAUUAGGUAGUUGGUGGGGUAAAGGCUCACCAAGCCGACGAUCUGUAGCUGGUCUGAGAGGACGACUAGCCACACUGGGACUGAGACACGGCCCAGACUCCUACGGGAGGCAGCAGUGGGGAAUUUUGGACAAUGGGCGCAAGCCUGAUCCAGCAAUGCCGCGUGCAGGAAGAAGGCCUUCGGGUUGUAAACUGCUUUUGUACGGAACGAAAAGGUUUGGGUUAAUACCCUGGGCCGAUGACGGUACCGUAAGAAUAAGCACCGGCUAACUACGUGCCAGCAGCCGCGGUAA